rnacentral:rRNA from 1 species
UACGUAGGGGGCAAGCGUUGUCCGGAUUUAUUGGGCGUAAAGAGCGUGUAGGCGGCUUGGUAGGUCCGCUGUGAAAACUCGAGGCUCAACCUCGAGAUGUCGGCGGAAACCACUUGGCUAGAGUCCGGAAGAGGAGAGUGGAAUUCCUGGUGUAGCGGUGAAAUGCGCAGAUAUCAGGAGGAACACCUAUUGCGAAGGCAGCUCGCUGGGACGUUACUGACGCUGAGACGCGAAAGCGUGGGGAGCAAACAGG